CCACAAAAAAAAAAAAAAAAAAAAAAAAAAAAAAAAAAAAAAGAGAUGAUCAGACUGAUUGGAACGAAGGGUCUGUUGGGAUCGUCUUUCUCCUUCUCACGCACCUUCUCCUUUACCUCCUCUUUCUCCUU
rnacentral:ribozyme from 13 species